UUAUUUGUAAAUUUUAUACAGUAAAAUAAAAUCUCUUAGGGAUACAGUUCUAUAAGCUUUGACACGUGCAUGGAAUCACCAUAAUCAUGAAAAAAGCAUUCUAUUGAAUGCCCUUACUUGGCUAUAGGCAAGCGUUCCUACAGUUCCAGUCCUUGGAAACCUUGAUUUUCAUCCCUAUAGUCGUCUUUUUCAGGUUGUCGUGGAAAGGGAAAAAAGUACCUUCUGAAUCUGUCUCCUUUAUUUAUUUAGGUUUGGGGGUCACACUUGGUGAUGCUCAGGUGAUGCUUACUCCUGGGUCUGCAUCCAGGGAUCACUCGGGGGACCAUAUGGGUGUCAGGGAUUAAUGCAAGGCUAACGCCCACCAGCUAUACUAUCACUCCAGCCCCUUAUUUAAGCAUUUAUUAAAGUAUUGCAAUUCAGAGUUCACCUCCCAAAUGAGCUAAAACUGACAUUCAUUUAAUCGUCACAGCUUUGGGGAAUAUACCUAUUUUUCAGAAAUGGAAAUUCAGAGAAGUGACCAGGAUAUGGAACAAAUGUGUCACAAAGUCGGCAUUUGUUUGCUCACCUGCUUAAUUUCAAACACAAGAUUUUUCUCAAGUGGUUAUUUGAAUUCAGCUUAAUUUUGUUCAGGUUUCUUCAGCUCCUAGCCUAGUUUCUGGCACAGAAUAUCUCAAACAAGACAGGCAUUUGUGGCCUCCUGCUGUUUGUAAAGUUUUCGUGUUCUGCAAAAAGUUGAACUGAUUAGCAAGGGGCAACAGAGAAGACGAAAAUCGGCAAGGCUGGGAAGAGAUCACGUCACUCCCAAGCUUUAGUUGACAUAUCUCUAUGGUUAUUACGUGACUUCUCUAGACUCUGGAGGACUCAACUAGAGAAAGCCAAUCACGAAGUCAGUUUCUGUGCACGUGUCCGGAAGUCGAAUCGCUACUGGUCAGCAGUGGGAAAGCCCGCCCUACCACGUCCGGUCUGUUCUUUUAAGUGAGGGCCGUACAGCGCGCUCGUCCUUUCUGCGGCUCUGCGGAGAUCCCGCCGGCCGAGGACGUCGGUUUCCGCCCCUCCCCAGAAGACACCCCCUCCCCCCCCGCUCCACACGCCCCCGGUGAAUAAAAAGCUUUGAUCCCA